CCUACGGGCGGCAGCAGUGGGGAAUAUUGGGCAAUGGACGCAAGUCUGACCCAGCAACGCCGCGUGAAGGAAGAAGGCUUUCGGGUUGUAAACUUCUUUUAAGGGGGAAGAGGAGAAGACGGUACCCCUUGAAUAAGCCACGGCUAACUACGUGCCAGCAGCCGCGGUAAUACGUAGGUGGCAAGCGUUGUCCGGAUUUACUGGGUGUAAAGGGCGUGCAGCCGGGCCGACAAGUCAGAUGUGAAAUCCGGGGGCUUAACCCGCGAACUGCAUUUGAAACUAUAGGUCUUGAGUGCCGGAGAGGUAAUCGGAAUUCCUUGUGUAGCGGUGAAAUGCGUAGAUAUAAGGAAGAACACCAGUGGCGAAGGCGGAUUACUGGACGGCAACUGACGGUGAGGCGCGAAAGCGUGGGGAGCAAACAGGAUUAGAUACCCCUGUAGUC
rnacentral:rRNA from 1 species